GUGUCAGCAGCCGCGGUAAUACGUAGGUGGCAAGCGUUGUCCGGAUUUACUGGGCGUAAAGAGCGCGCAGGCGGUCUUGUAAGUCGAAUGUGAAAGCCCCUGGCUCAACCGGGGAGGGUCAUUCGAUACUGCUCGACUCGAAGGCAGGAGAGGGAAGCGGAAUUCCCGGUGUAGUGGUGAAAUGCGUAGAUAUCGGGAGGAACACCAGUGGCGAAGGCGGCUUUCUGGCCUGUUCUUGACGCUGAGGCGCGAAAGCUAGGGGAGCAAACGGGAUUAGAUACCCCCGUAGUCC
rnacentral:rRNA from 1 species